rnacentral:rRNA from 1 species
AUUGAACGCUGGCGGCAGGCUUAACACAUGCAAGUCGAGCGGGGGAAGGUAGCUUGCUACCGGACCUAGCGGCGGACGGGUGAGUAAUGCUUAGGAAUCUGCCUAUUAGUGGGGGACAACAUCUCGAAAGGGAUGCUAAUACCGCAUACGUCCUACGGGAGAAAGCAGGGGAUCUUCGGACCUUGCGCUAAUAGAUGAGCCUAAGCCGGAUUAGCUAGUUGGUGGGGUAAAGGCCUACCAAGGCGACGAUCUGUAGCGGGUCUGAGAGGAUGAUCCGCCACACUGGGACGGAGACACGGCCCAGACUCCUACGGGAGGCAGCAGUGGGGAAUAUUGGACAAUGGGGGGAACCCUGAUCCAGCCAUGCCGCGUGUGUGAAGAAGGCCUUAUGGUUGUAAAGCACUUUAAGCGAGGAGGAGGCUACUCUAGUUAAUACCUAGGGAUAGUGGACGUUACUCGCAGAAUAAGCACCGGCUAACUCUGUGCCAGCCGCCGCGGUAA